GAUGAACGCUGGCGGCGUGCCUAAUACAUGCAAGUCGAGCGAACAGAUGAGGAGCUUGCUCCUCUGACGUUAGCGGCGGACGGGUGAGUAACACGUGGAUAACCUACCUAUAAGACUGGGAUAACUUCGGGAAACCGGAGCUAAUACCGGAUAAUAUAUUGAACCGCAUGGUUCAAUAGUGAAAGACGGUUUUGCUGUGACUUAUAGAUGGAUCAGCGCCUCAUUAACUAGUUGGUAAGGUAACGGAUUACCAAGGCAACGACGCGUAGCCGACCUGAGCGGGACGUCGGCCACACUGGAACUGAGACUCGGUCCAGACUCCUACGGGGGGCAGCGGUAGGGAAUCUUCCGCAAUGGACGAAAGCCGGACGGAGCAACGCCGCGUGAGUGAUGAAGGUCUUCGGAUCGUAAAACUAUGUUAUUAGUGAAGAACAAAUGUGUAAGUAACUAGGCACGUCUUGACGGUACCUAAUCAGAAAGCCACGGCUAACUACGUG
rnacentral:rRNA from 1 species